AAAGGUACACUCUUUCUUUAUUUUUUAAAAUAGUUCCUCUCCUGCCCUCUCCAGGGCUCUUCUAUGACACAAGUUACAAACCCACUGCCAGGUUCUCCCCAGGCUCAUCUGCUCCCCACCCACCUGAGUCAAGAAGCAAAGGAGAAGCCAGGAAAGCCUAAAGGGAGGCUCUGGGGGCCCUGAAAGGAGGGCAGAGGGACUCGUGUCCUCCUCAAGUCGAAGAAUCUGAGACCACCUCCAGGCCCCAAGGUUGGAGGCCCCUGAAAUCCACUGGACAGGACACCAAUCACGGUCCUAUCUCUCACUGAGCGACGGAAGAGCGUCAGCACCCAGGUGUGCUCAGCACCUGGUGACCAAGGAUCUGGCGGGAGGGGUUGGUACUCCCAUGGUCCCUUGCUCCAGAGAGGGCUCUGUG
rnacentral:lncRNA from 1 species